rnacentral:tRNA from 1 species
UCUGUGAUGGCCGAGUGGUUAAGGCGUUUGACUCGUUGAAUCCCGUGCAGGUUCAAACCCUGCUCACAGCG